GGUCCCGCCUGCCCAGUGAAACUCUUUCAACGGCCGCGGUAUUCUAACCGUGCAAAGGUAGCGUAAUCACUUGUCUUCUAAAUAAAGACCAGUAUGAACGGCUAAAUGAGGACGGGCCUGUCUCUUAUGACUAAUCAGUGAAACUGAUCUCCCAGUUCAAAAGCUGGGAUAACUACAUAAGACGAGAAGACCCUGUGGAGCUUAAAAUAAACCGCUAACAAACACCACGCUAUAGCACACAUUUUAAGUUGGGGCGACUUCGGAAAAAAACAAAACUUCCGAGCACAGAACCACCACUUCUCCAACAGGCCAACAAGCCAAAAUUAAAGCUGACCCGGCCAAACCGAUCAACGAACCAAGUUACCCCAGGGAUAACAGCGCUAUCUUCUUCAAGAGUCCCUAUCAACAAGAAGGUUUACGACCUCGAUGUUGGAUCAGGACACCCAAAUGGUGCAGCCGCUAUUAAGGGUUCGUUUGUUCAACGAUUAACAGUCCUACGUGAUCUG
rnacentral:rRNA from 1 species